rnacentral:rRNA from 1 species
UGGGGAAUAUUGGACAAUGGGCGCAAGCCUGAUCCAGCCAUGCCGCGUGUGUGAAGAAGGCCUUAUGGUUGUAAAGCACUUUAAGCGAGGAGGAGGCUACUUUAGUUAAUACCUAGAGAUAGUGGACGUUACUCGCAGAAUAAGCACCGGCUAACUCUGUGCCAGCAGCCGCGGUAAUACAGAGGGUGCAAGCGUUAAUCGGAUUUACUGGGCGUAAAGCGCGCGUAGGCGGCUAAUUAAGUCAAAUGUGAAAUCCCCGAGCUUAACUUGGGAAUUGCAUUCGAUACUGGUUAGCUAGAGUGUGGGAGAGGAUGGUAGAAUUCCAGGUGUAGCGGUGAAAUGCGUAGAGAUCUGUAGGAAUACCGAUGGCGAAGGCAGCCAUCUGGCCUAACACUGACGCUGAGGUGCGAAAGCAUGGGGAGCAAACAGG